AGAGAGAGAGAGAGAGAGAGCACCUUUAAUUUCACUUAGCUUCUCCCAAGCUUGCUCUUCCCCGACACAACAAAACCAAUAAAUAGGUACUUUUUCCCUCCCCUCCUAAAACCCACAUUUGUUAACCAACCAUACACAGCCCAACAAUCAGCAUUUGCGGCAAAGAAAAAUGAAUAAAGAGAAAAGAAGAGCAAAGAUCAAA
rnacentral:misc_RNA from 1 species